AAAAAAUCUUUAAUCCUUGUGAACCCACCCAUCUUCUUGAAUCUAUGUCUGCUAAUCUGAGUCAACAAGAACCAACCCACAACCACCGCCAUAUAAUUCUUAACCUUAUUCCCAAAAUACCCUUCAGUCAAAAAAUCCCCAUAUCGAUCUCGCCUUAAACAAUUAAUUCUUCCCUCUUACGCCAUAUAAUUCUGAGCCAACCAAUCAAUAAAGCCAUCAGAAAGAUCAAACCAGAACCAAACAUGUUUAGAAAAAGAAAAGUACCAAAAAUGCCCCUGGUUAAUACCACUCCCAACCGAACGCACAUAAUCAUCUACUUAUAUUUUUCUUCCCACCCCCAGGCACCUGCGACAAAAAGAAAGCAUCGACAUCACCCAAACACCCAUCUACACCUAUUACAGCAUAAAAUCCAAUAAUUAGCUAGUCGCUUUGCUGGUUUCCCAACCCCAAAAGAAAAAUAAAAACCUUCUUCUAACACAUGAGAUUUAAUGCAGUUCUGAGGUUCAAAAAAUUGAACAAAGAAAUAACUAGUAAAUCUGUAGGUUGAUAGUGGCUUCGAUAUCGAUUGAAGAUCAGAAGGAGGCAAUUAGCGGUGGUGACAAAAGAUCGGUGGCGGCGUUCCAGUAUUGUUUGAAGAUCAAGAAGCGGCGAUUGGCGGUGACGAUUGAAGACCAGGUAGCAGCGAUUGAAGAUGUCGAUUGAAGUGGAUGUCGACUGAAGUCAAUGAGAAGAAGGGCUAAGAAACGAACGAGGAUUGAAGAUAGUGAUGGUGACUGCAACGUGAGAUGCAGUGGUGAACAGAUUUGAGUGGUGUAUGGACGAUGGAGGCGGAACUAUUGAUGAAGCCCUAGGUAUCCAAGGCAGAAAUAAAGAUACGGGAAUAGAAAAGGAAAUAGACGAGACUUGAGAAAUUUUAGGAGUUAGAUAAAGAUUUAAUUACUAUUAUACCCUUAUGACAAUUUUAAUGUUACAAUUUAAUCCCUGUAAUUUUAAGAGUUUG
rnacentral:lncRNA from 1 species